ACAAAUGAGCAAAGAGGACAGAGAGAGAGAGAGAGAGAGAGAGAGGGAAGCAGGGCUCAUGCAAAGCGGGGCUGGUGCUCACCUGAGGCGGGGCUUGAAUUCAUUGUGAGAUCAUGAUCUGAGCCGAAGUCAGUUGCUUAACCGAUUGAGCCACCCAUGUGCCCUGGUUUAUAUCUUUAAAAGAUUGUUCUGGCUGCUGUGGGACAAUGUAGAAUACCUGAGUGCACGUGGGAGGCCAGUGAGGAAGCAAAGCUGGUUGUCCAGGGGGAAGCAAUGGUUGCUUAAACACACAGGGGUGGUGGAGACGGGGAGCAGAAUGUGGACUUAGGAGGUAACAUCAGUAGGAUGGGGGGAUCAGGGCAAAGGGAGUUGUCCAUGGCUUGGCUACAGGCAGGAUGGUGGCCCCACUUAGGGACACCAAGGAUGCUAACAGAAGGUGAGGUUGAGGGGUGGAGGCAGACAAAGAAGGUGGCCUUGGACCCCAUAAGCUUCAGAGUGGGACAUCUGAGUGCAGAUGCUAAUAGGCAGUUAGAUGUAUGUGCAUGCGCCUUUCGCCCCACAGUUCUCUGGAGGAUGAAUCCUGGAACCCGAAACCUCAGCUUGAUUUCUCUCUUGCUGCUGAGUUUCGAUCAGGCCAUAGCCAAGGCAUAGAAUAAGACAGAUGGAGUCUCAGCUCUCAUGAAGAUUGCACACCAGUUGGGGAGACAGGCAACAAUCAAGGAUACACAUAUGCAAACAAGGCCUUUGGACUCAUGCUGGAAUUAAGCCAUUGGCUCUCCUGGAUCUCCAGCCUCCUGACUCAUCCUGCAAACCUUGGGACUUGCCUGCCUCCAUAACCACUUGAGUCAGUUCCUUAUAAUAAAUCUUUG